rnacentral:rRNA from 1 species
GAUCCUGCCGGAGGCCACUGCUAUGGGGGUCCGACUAAGCCAUGCGAGUCACGGGGUCCCUUCGGGGACACCGGCGGACGGCUCAGUAACACGUCGGUAACCUACCCUCGGGAGGGGGAUAACCCCGGGAAACUGGGGCUAAUCCCCCAUAGGCCUGAGGUACUGGAAGGUCCUCAGGCCGAAAGGGUCUCUGACCGCCCGAGGAUGGGCCGGCGGCCGAUUAGGUAGUUGGUGGGGUAACGGCCCACCAAGCCGAAGAUCGGUACGGGCCAUGAGAGUGGGAGCCCGGAGAUGGACACUGAGACACGGGUCCAGGCCCUACGGGGCGCAGCAGGCGCGAAACCUCCGCAAUGCGGGAAACCGCGACGGGGGGACCCCCAGUGCCGUGGCACCGCCACGGCUUUUCCGGAGUGUAAAGAGCUCCGGGAAUAAGGGCUGGGCAAGGCCGGUGGCAGCCGCCGCGGUAAUACCGGCGGCCCGAGUGGUGGCCGCUAUUAUUGGGCCUAAAGCGUCCGUAGCCGGGCCCGUAAGUCCCUGGCGAAAUCCCACGGCUCAACCGUGGGGCUUGCUGGGGAUACUGCGGGCCUUGGGACCGGGAGAGGCCGGGGGUACUCCUGGGGUAGGGGUGAAAUCCUAUAAUCCCAGGAGGACCGCCAGUGGCGAAGGCGCCCGGCUGGAACGGGUCCGACGGUGAGGGACGAAGGCCAGGGGAGCAAACCGGAUUAGAUACCCGGGUAGUCCUGGCUGUAAAGGAUGCGGGCUAGGUGUCGGGUGAGCUUCGGGCUCGCCCGGUGCCGAAGGGAAGCCGUUAAGCCCGCCGCCUGGGGAGUACGGCCGCAAGGCUGAAACUUAAAGGAAUUGGCGGGGGAGCACUACAAGGGGUGGAGCGUGCGGUUUAAUUGGAUUCAACGCCGGGAACCUCACCGGGGGCGACGGCAGGAUGAAGGCCAGGCUGAAGGUCUUGCCGGACACGCCGAGAGGAGGUGCAUGGCCGCCGUCAGCUCGUACCGUGAGGCGUCCACUUAAGUGUGGUAACGAGCGAGACCCGCGCCCCCAGUUGCCAGUCCUCCCCGCUGGGGAGGAGGCACUCUGGGGGGACUGCCGGCGAUAAGCCGGAGGAAGGAGCGGGCGACGGUAGGUCAGUAUGCCCCGAAACCCCCGGGCUACACGCGCGCUACAAUGGGCGGGACAAUGGGAUCCGACCCCGAAAGGGGAAGGGAAUCCCCUAAACCCGCCCCCAGUUCGGAUUGCGGGCUGCAACUCGCCCGCAUGAAGCUGGAAUCCCUAGUACCCGCGUGUCAUCAUCGCGCGGCG